CCCUCGUCUCCUCCCUCGUCUCCUCCCUCGUCUCCUCCCUCGUCUCCUCCCUCGUCUCCUCCCCCUCCUGCCCCCCCCCUCUACGGCUCUGUGUGGGUGCUGUGGGUAUUGCGCCCUCUGCUGGUGGGCGGUCCGUACGGCGUGUGCACUGUGCUGCUGGUGCUGGUCUACAGGGGGCAGCGUGACACAGGAAGUCGGCGCCUCGUUUCCGCGGAGACGGGCCGGCGGGAGGAGGAGGAGGAGUACGAUGACGUCGCCGCUGAGGUCACCACCGAGCACCGCUUCUGAGCCAAUCACAGCUCUGCUUUCAGCUUUCAGGAUGUGACGUUUCAAUUUGAAACCAAAAAUAGAUUUGUGUCAAAUAUCAUGUUUUUAUGACUCACUUUAUUUGGAAGGUUUUCAAUUGUUUCCACAGAUUUGAGCCAAAUGUGAAGCCAAAUAAAUGUGCUGUGUACUGUCUAUGUCUGAUUAUAAAGGCUUUUAUUUAGUGUCAGGAAGUGCACUGUUAGCAUGCUGACUGUCUGCUCUGGAGUCAAUAAAAUCCCUCCUGUUUGAAA